UGAGGCUUCAGAACGCGGUCGUCUUC
rnacentral:piRNA from 1 species